rnacentral:rRNA from 1 species
GACGAACGCUGGCGGCGUGCCUAAUACAUGCAAGUCGAACGCAGUGGGGACGGGUGAGUAACACGUUGGUAACCUCCCGUCAGAGGGGAUAACACUUGGAAACAGGUGCUAAACCCAUAUUGUUGUAUGGACCCGGGGUGCAUUAGCUAGUUGGUGAGGUAACGGCUCACAAAGGCCACGAUGCAUAGCCGAGCUGAGAGGGUGAUCGGCCACACUGGGACUGAGACACGGCCCAGACUCCUACGGGAGGCAGCAGUGGGGAAUAUUCGGCAAUGGACGAAAGUCUGACCGAGCAACGCCGCGUGAGUGAAGAAGGUUUUCGGAUCGUAAAGCUCUGUUGUUAGAGAAGCGGUAUCUAACCAAAAAGCCACGGCUAACUACGUGCCAGCAGCCGCGGUAAUUC